GGAUCCACCCGUUCCCAUCCCGAACACGGAAGUUAAGCCCUCCAGCGCCGAUGGUACUUGGGGAUGACCCCUGGGAGAGUAGGUCGUUGCCAGGC
rnacentral:rRNA from 2 species